UUCCACAGCCAAAUUAGCCUGCAGCCCAAGAGUGGUUACUUAUUGAUGCUGCAGCAACGCUGAGCCUGGUCAGUACCUGAAUGGGAGACCACAUGGGAAAAAUUAGGUUGCUGUUGAAA
rnacentral:rRNA from 1 species